ACACAACCAGUAGGACACAUGUCAGUAGACACAACCAGUAGGACACAUGUCAGUAGACACAACCAGUAGGACACACAACCAGUAGGUCACACGUCAGUACAUACACACAACCAGUAGGACACACAACCAGUAGGACACACAACCAGUAGGACACACAACCAGUAGGACACACAACCAGUAGGACACACAACCAGUAGGACACACAACCAGUAGGACACACAACCAGUAGGACACACAGCCAGUAGGACACACAACCAGUAGGACACACAACCAGUAGGACACACAACCAGUAGGACACACAACCAGUAGGUCACACAACCAGUAGGACACACAGCCAGUAGGUCACACAACCAGUAGGUCACACAACCAGUAGGACACACAACCAGUAGGACACACAACCAGUAGGUCACACAACCAGUAGGACACACAACCAGUAGGACACACAACCAGUAGGACACACAACCAGUAGGACACACAACCAGUAGGUCACACAACCAGUAGGUCACACAACCAGUAGGACACACAACCAGUAGGACACACAACCAGUAGGUCACACAACCAGUAGGACACACAACCAGUAGGACACACAACCAGUAGGUCACACAACCAGUAGGACACA